GCCGAGUUGAUUAACAUUAACUUGUGACCCAAGUGGGGGCAUUAAUGUGAUGGAACUGUUGCAUGGCUCUUAGGUUGGACUGUUGAGUGCAAUGUGGUUGGCUUGCCCACUACAAGUUGAGAGUUGUUUCGUGUGAUUUGAGCGAAGGCACAGGUCUCAUGGAUCCUAAACAAGAGGGCACAGCGUGAGGCUGGCUUCACAGAGCAGCGACAACCUCUGGCUCUCAACAGUGUAGGGAUGACAGGCUGUAGCACCACCAGUUCAUUAUGACCUGGUGAGCCUGGUUCUGCUAGAACCAUCACUUUU